rnacentral:rRNA from 1 species
ACUCAAAUGAAUUGACGGGGGCCAGCACAAGCGGUGGAACAUGUGGUUCAAUUCGAUGCUACGCGAAGAACCUUACCCAGGCUUGACAUGCUUGAAGUAGGAACCUGAAAGGGAGACGACUCGUAUCCAGUCGAGAACUUGCACAGGUGCUGCAUGGCUGUCGUCAGCUCGUGCCGUGAGGUGUUGGCUUAAGUGCCACAACGAGCGCAACCAUUGUUGAUAGUUGCCAUCGGGUCGCAAGAUGCCGGGCACUCUAUUGAGACUGCCAGCGAUGAGCUGGAGGAAGGUGGUGAUGACGUCAAGUCAGUACGGCCCUUAUGCCUGGGGCUACACACGUGUUACAAUGCGGUCGACAACGCGCUGCUAACCCGCGAGGGCAUGCUAAUCGCUUAAACGACCGCUCAGUUCAGAUCGCAGUCUGCAACUCGACUGCGUGAAGCCGGAAUCGCUAGUAAUGGCGGAUCAGCUACGCCGCCAUGAAUACGUUCCCUGGCCUUGUACACACCGCCCGU